UAUUCACACCCCGCGCGUGGGAGAAAACUAGCAUAUCAAAUAAGCGGAGGAAAAGAAACCCAACAGGGAUUGCUUUAGUAACUGCGAGUGAAGCGGCAAAAGCUCAAAUUUGAAAUCUGACGUCUUUGACGUUCGAGUUGUAAUUUGGAGGGAUAUCUUCGGAGUUGGAGCCGUUCUAAGUUCUUUGGAACCAGACAUCAUAGAGGGUGAGAAUCCCGUGCCUGGAUGGCCAUCCAUUUCCAUGUGAAGUGUCUCCGACGAGUCGAGUUGUUUGGGAAUGCAGCUCAAAAUGGGUGGUAAAUUUCAUCUAAAGCUAAAUAUUGGCGAGAGACCGAUAGCGCACAAGUAGAGUGAUCGAAAGAUGAAAAGCACUUUGAAAAGAGAGUUAAACAGUACGUGAAAUUGUUGAAAGGGAAGCGCUUGGGACUAGAUUCAGCUGAUGGUGAUCAGCCGUACUUUUGUUCGGUGCACUCGCCGUCGGUUGAGCCAGCAUCGGUUCUGAUGGUGGGAUAAAGGUUUGAGGAAUGUGGCUCCAUGACUUCGUGGAGUGUUAUAGCCUUGAGUGCAAUGCCACCUGUUGGGACCGAGGACCGCGCUUUUGCUAGGAUGCUGGCUAAAAGGUCUUAAGCGGCCCGUCUUGAAACACGGACCAAGGAGUCUAACAUCUAUGCGAGUGUUCGGGUGAAAAACCCUUGCGCGUAAUGAAAGUGAAUGGAGGUGGGAACUCCUUUGGGGUGCACCAUCGACCGAUCUUGAUGUUUACGGAAGGAUUUGAGUAGGAGCAUAGCUGUUGGGACCCGAAAGAUGGUGAACUAUGCCUGAAUAGGGUGAAGCCAGAGGAAACUCUGGUGGAGGCUCGCAGCGGGUUCUGACGUGCAAAUCGAUCGUCAAAUUUGGGUAUAGGGGCGAAAGACUAAUCGAACCCAUCUAGUAGCUGGUUUCCUGCCCGAGUUUCCUCCCCCUCUACAAGAGGAA
rnacentral:rRNA from 1 species